rnacentral:misc_RNA from 1 species
UUUGGUUUGUUACGUGUGGUUGGCUGCGGCGUUUGCAACAACUUCCAUGCUUUCAGACCUCUUCAGUUGUGCGGCAAGGCUUGUAUCGCCUUGAGCGUGCUGUGGGUUUUCUGUGUUGGCUACCUAAUCAAUGGUAUCGGUUGGAUUGAUCAAAGUUUGAUUUCGUCUUUUGUCGCAUUCGCGGCGUGAGGUGAACCUCGAUGCGGUCUCUUUGAUCCACCUCGUUGAAGCACAUGCCUUGACGUUGUGGCACAUUGAGCAUUGCUUGGUCUCUUGUAUACGGAACAUAUAGUGGGCAUGGAUCUAACGAUUCUCGUUUGCCCUCAUAUUAGCGUAACGCUUCUCUAACACGACUUGCACCACGUUUUAA